UUGAAUCCUCAACAGCUUUGUGAGGGAGAUAUACUGUUCGUUACCCUCACUUUAUGAUGAGAAACCUCAGGCCCAGGGAAGUGACAUAGCAAGUCUGCUUCUGGAGUCCUGACUAUCUACUCUGCAUUGUCCAGAUUGCUUCUCAUUGUGUAGCUGAGACCCCUUGCUCUGUGUACAAGCCAAGGAGCAGGCUCCUGAGCAUGGCAUCUGAGACCUUCUGGAUCUGACCUCUGCUCUUUGGAACUUCAUUGUCUCCUGUCUGUUUUGUGCUACAAGCUGUAGCAAUUCAAAUGUGCUUAUGGUUGACCUACACACAGUGCUGUUUAUAACCUCUGCGCUUUGGCCACCUCUGCCCCACAUACCUAACUAAUUCAGCUCCUUGCCCGGCUUGAAGGAAGACGGUCCUUGAAAGAAAUAGAACCCUGUCUGUUUGUCGAUGAAGAUGAACCUGUGCAUGCGGAAAAGCUCAUCUGUCAGAAGCAAACAUGGAAAUCUUCAUGCCUCAUCCUUAGAGUUGUGUAAACUCUGCCUCUGAGACCAGCUACACGGUCAUGCUAGUUAAAAGCCACUGUACAACCCGCCAGAGUCUGGCCUUCUUGUUGCUGUCACAUGGUUCCCUGGCUGUGGCCUUUCGUCCCCCUGCCUUGCCUUCAGCGGUGUCAUUCUCGUUCAGCCCGAGGCUACGGGCUGCCGGAGGCUGGUGCUCCCUGUCCUCAGACCCUCUCAGAUCAGAUGACACCCUAGGUCCCCAUUUUCUCAAAGGUCUGUUGCCUCCCACCGCUGCUGGUACCAAUACUGUAAAAGUCAGGGUUUUAAUUACCAAAAACAAAAAAUAAAACAAUCCACCAUGGCUACUUUAAGCAGAAGAAGACACCGCAGGAAAGGAUGUACUGCAGACAUCAGGUGACCGGGGACGCACUGCGAGGGCCCAGGAAGGGGUCUGAGGCUGCACUUCCUGCAGCCCCUCUCAAAGCCGCCCCCAGCCCAACCUCCGCCGAGAAUGAGUGUGGAAAAUCGUCUUCUCCAGGCAUCACUGCUCCAACACGGAGCCACUACCACUGCAGCCACAGGAGCCGGAUGGCACCCCGCCCGCAGCAUCAGCGGGUGGAGUCCCGCACGCACGGCGUGUUCAUCAGCUGGUCACUGUCAGGUCAGCUAGCCACGCUCCUGCAGAGAGAACGGGAAUUUGGGUUCUGCCUCUGGGUGGGAGAGGCACAUUCCACGGUGUGUGAUUUCUCCAACUGUAGAAUGACAUUCAGAGAGUGAUGGGAAGUCCCACAUCGGGCAGAUGUCCACCCCAGAACAGACGUAGAGUAGCUCCCGUCAGCGCCGCUGGGCUGUCAUGGUUUAUGCCGGGGCGGACUGUGCUUCAGAAGACAGGCCUCGGGGCUGCUCUCCCCAGCAGGGCCCUGGGAGGCAGGCUUCAGCCUGUGGAGAUGGUGCCGCGUAGUGAGCGCCUGCAUUAGGUCACGUCCGCAGCGCCAGCUCUGGUAUGCCACACCUCGCUUCGUGUAAACCCACGAUCCCAUGCCAGUGAGGGACAGCAAGCCACGAUUGGCACCUGCCACUACCCUGGCACUGCAAUUUGUCCACAGAAGGCGUGGACCUUUUCCUCUACAAGUUUAUGGCCAAGAUCAACAACGAUGCCUAGAUAGGAGCCCUGGGGAAGUGCACGUGCCAAGAUGUGAGGAAAUGGACCGCUCGUCACUGACAUCACCCCAACAGUGAAUUUAGUGAUGGGAGUUGCAUGUUGAGAAGAAGUAAAUACUCUUCCCCAGUUAUGGAGCAUAUGGGUCACGUUCAUGAUGAGGAACAACCUGGAACCCUGAGCCAGUCAUCUUGCUGAGGGGCCAGGGCUGGAAGUCCAGCCGUGGGAGCGUGACAAGCACAUCAAGAUGACAGUGCAGCCCGGCUGACCUAUAAACCAGGGGUUCACGGUUCGAUUCCCAGUCAGGGCACAUGCCUGGGUUAUGGGCUCCAUCCCCAGUAGGGGCCAUGCAGGAGGCAGCUGAUCAAUGAUUCUCUCUCAUCAUUGACAUUUCUCUCCCUGUCUCCCUUCCUCUGAAAUCAUUAAAAAUAUAUAUUUUUUAAAAAGGUAACAUGGCAUGUUCUGGAAGCAUGAAAGGGGUGCGGGGGGUGAAUGCAAGACUACCAGAGCAAGAGAAGUUAAAAGGCAGAGGUCAGAGUCGCUGAGUAGGCUGCUGAGGAGCCAUUACCUGAGAGGCAGCGGAAAACUCCCUCUCCACGUAGCAGUCCAGGCCCGUGCCCUAAAACUGCCCUGGGCUAUUUCAGUAGACUCACAUCACCAGUGACAUGGGUGUUAAUAUUUUAUGGCUCUAACUUGCACUUCUAAAAGUUCUAAUUAAUCUCCAAGAUAAAAACUGGCAUGCAGGCUGGUACCAAUGAGAAUCACAGCCUCCGUGCCGUGUCUGUGCCAGCUCCUCUGGGGCCCUGCACCAGUGCCCUCCCUGUCUCAGCUGCAUAACGGGGCCAGUGAUUAGCCUUUGGAAGGGAAGCCACACUUCCCGCUGGAUACCACUUGCUCACUGUUAGUAAUUAAUUGAUGGAUUAGCAGGUCCUCUAGCCCUGGCUAGUAAAGACCUCCUCAAGGCUCUCUCCCCUCCAACCCACCCCCAUACCCUGGGAGAAGAGUUUCCUUAACCUCCUUGAAAGCAGGGCUACAUCUUAGACAUUUUUUGGUAACUCGCUUAGUGCCCUGCACAAAGGAAACACAGAACAAAUGGAUGGCUGCACGGAUACAUAGAGAGACAGGCACAUGGAAAUAGGUAAUAUACUUCCUAUUUUACUCCCUUGUUAUAAAACUUCUCAAACUUUAGCUUAAAAGAGAACUUAAGCCCUGGCUGGUGUGGCUCAAUUGGUUGAACAUUGUCCCAUGCACCAAGAGGUCACUGGUUCGAUUCUCCAUCGGGGCACACACCCAGGU